rnacentral:tRNA from 1 species
GCCCAUGUGGCUCAGUGGUAGAGCACAACCUUGGUAAGGUUGGGGUCCUGAGUUCGAUUCUCAGCAUGGGCACCA